AAUAGAUACCCUGGUAGUCCACGCCGUAAACGAUGAGUGCUAAGUGUUAGAGGGUUUCCGCCCUUUAGUGCUGCAGCUAACGCAUUAAGCACUCCGCCUGGGGAGUACGGUCGCAAGACUGAAACUCAAAGGAAUUGACGGGGGCCCGCACAAGCGGUGGAGCAUGUGGUUUAAUUCGAAGCAACGCGAAGAACCUUACCAGGUCUUGACAUCCCACUGACCGGUAUAGAGAUAUACCUUUCCCUUCGGGGACAGUGGUGACGGGUGGUGCAUGGUUGUCGUCAGCUCGUGUCGUGAGAUGUUGGGUUAAGUCCCGCAACGAGCGCAACCCUUAAUCUUAGUUGCCAGCAUUUAGUUGGGCACUCUAAGGUGACUGCCGGUGACAAACCGGAGGAAGGUGGGGAUGACGUCAAAUCAUCAUGCCCCUUAUGACCUGGGCUACACACGUGCUACAAUGGAUGGUACAAAGGGCUGCAAGACUGCGAAGUCAAGCCAAUCCCAUAAAACCAUUCUCAGUUCGGAUUGCAGG
rnacentral:rRNA from 1 species